GUCGAGGGGAAACGGCAUUAAGUGCUUGCACUUUUUGGACGUCGACCGGCGCACGGGUGAGUAACGCGUAUCCAACCUGCCCCUUACCAGGGAAUAACCCGUUGAAAGACGGACUAAUGCCCUAUGCAGUCCUUUGACGGCAUCAGAUUAGGACUAAAGAUUUAUCGGUAUGGGAUGGGGAUGCGUCUGAUUAGCUUGUUGGCGGGGUAACGGCCCACCAAGGCAUCGAUCAGUAGGGGUUCUGAGAGGAAGGUCCCCCACAUAGGAACUGAGACACGGUCCUAACUCCUACGGGAGGCAGCAGUGAGGAAUAUUGGUCAAUGGGCGCUAGCCUGAACCAGCCAAGUAGCGUGAAGGAUGACGG
rnacentral:rRNA from 1 species